CCGGGCUUAGUAACUUGAGCCUGUAACUCAAGUGAGGGCUAUAGGAUGGUUGAAGGGUUGGUUUGGUCCAGAUGGUUGGGCUAGUUUGGUUUAAUGCAUGGCCUGCCCAUUCAAGUGAGGAGUUUAACCAUGGGUUCUGAGCGAAGGCUCAGAGCUCUCGGUCACUAUAGUGGAGGGUACUGCGCUAGGCUGGUUUCACAGAGCAGCGACCACUUCCCUCUCCUUUCGGUGGAAGGAUUACAGGCCGGUAAUCAGCUACUCCCAUCAAAUAAACCUGAUGGGCCUCCCAAUUCAACAACCAUCUUUUUCCCUAAUCAUGUCUAUUUUUUGUUUUGGGAAAGUAAACUAUCUAUUUCCUUUAAUGUGAUGUCUAUUUUUUGUUUGGGUAAUUUAUUUAAUAUGCUAAUUAAUUAAAUUAUUUAGUUAUAAAAAGCGGUUCACUAAUUAUUAUGUAAACUUGGGCAUGUAUGACAUUAAUUAUGAGCCAAUGGAAUGAAAGGAGUGAAAUCCAAAAAAGUAGGAGCAAAGUAAGGUCCAAGUUGCUUAUUUUUAUUUACGAAAGCUUAAGCUAAUUUAAUCUCAACUUUAUUACUCAGUCCAUAAUAGCAGCCCAAACUCUUGAUACUAAUUGUGUACUUAUGACUAGACUUGGCAAUAUAGUUGGUUAACUAUCAGGUCAACCCAUAUUAAUUGGUAUCAAAUGGGUUGGUUAACUACUUUUAUGGGUUAAUUACAUAUUUUAGUACAUUUUUAGAAAUAAUUACAAUAAUAGUGCAUCCAUAAAAUAAUUACAAAAGUAAUACACUUUUCCAUAAUUAUUUAUAAUAUUAGCAAUUAGGAUUCCUUAAUUUAGGAAAUUAGUAUGCAAUUAGGAUUCCUUAAUUUAGAGGAUUAAUAUAGAUUUACUUUCUCUCUCCACUUGUUUUCGUUUCUUUAAUUCAAAGACUGUAACAUUCAAACUCUCCAUCACUGGUGCAGUUAUGUUAAGGUUGUGCGCCAUGGACACAGUCAAAGCUUUCUAUCCUUUUUCUCACAAAGGCCCCCAUUGAGUAUUCUCUAUAGCAGUUCUUUGUCACUGAAAACCAUGGCGGCCUCUCGACAUCUUCAAUCUGGAAAUAUGAGUUGCCCCAUCCAUAGUUGUCACCCCUUUUUGCCUUUUGAGGCAAAGUGAACUCUUCAAAUUGUUGAUAGUGGUGGAGAAUACUUUUGAAGUAGUUUUUCAUACUAUACUACUACAGCGGAGGCCUGUAGAUUUAGUGGAAAAGCACCAGUAUACAGAGAGAGAAAGUGACAGUGAUGUGAAGGCUGUGCCAGUAGAAUCGGAUGACGAUGGUGGGAGAUCUGUUGGGGAAUUAUUGGGAACGAAUCAGGUUGAAGUGGACAAGAAAGAGGAUGAUAGAUUAAAUAAUGGUGAGGUUUAAAUAAUGGUGGACGAGAAAGAGGAACGAAUCAGGUUGAAGUGGACAAGAAAGAGGAUGAUUAAGUGUGUUAGCUCUUUAAACUUUGACACAAUUGUUCUGUUUCUGAAAAGUGGUAUUACCUACAGUUUUUUCAUAGUGCAGUUGGUAGCCAAUCAUUCAUACCAAGGUAACCAAUUCAGUGUUAUUAAGUUACAAAUUUAUUUUGAAUAUGAUGUAGUUGGUAGCCAAAUCUUCAUGCAGUGGGUAGCCAAACCUUCAUACCAAGGUAACCAAUUCAGUUUUAUUAAGUUACCAAUUUAUUUUGAAUAUUAUGCAGUUGGUUGCCAAACUUUCAGACCAAGGUAACCAAUUCAUACUAUAGGUGUGGAGGUAGAUUGGUUACCUUGGUAUAAAGGUUUAGUUACCUUGGUAUAAAAAUUUGGUUACCUUUUUAAGAAAGUUUGGUUAUCAACAUUACAUUACACAUCACUCUCUUAUCUCUCUCUUUUCUAUGCAAUGUUCUUAUUUUCUUUUGGACAUGAAAUUGGAAUUGAAAUUUUCGGACAUGAAUAAAUUGUGAAAAAUCAAAUAUUCACCUCCUUUCUACAUCUCAUCGACCAUUUUGUGGCUCUGUCUCACCGGCGAAGGGGAGGAGGAAGAUGACCGGCGAAGGGGAAGAGGAAGAUGAUGUUGCCAAACUUUGAAUAUUUGAAUUUGAAUUUGUUUUUGUUGUUAGAUCUAAGAUAUUUAAAUUUGAAUUAUUAAUUAUGACAGUUAUUUCUCCUUGAUUUUAGGUUUCUUUAUUAUUGUGAAUUGAAUCCUAUACUAAUUCCCUAAAUUAAGGAAUCCUAAUUGCACUUAUAUUAUAAAUAAAUAUGAAAAAAUGUAUUAUUUUUGUAAUUAUUUUGUGCAUGCACUAAUAGUGUAAUUACUUACUAAAUAUUGUAUAUUAUUGUAAAGGACCCAAAUUAUUUUUUGGCAAAAAUUGACCCACAUAUUGGUCUCUUUGGAUCCAAAUGUCAUAGAGAAAUAAAGUAAGACAAAAUAAAAAAUAAAAA
rnacentral:lncRNA from 1 species